AUGAGUGUGAUGAUCCAGCUGCAGAGAAGAGCCCCGUGUCUGGAGAAGUGGUCCACGCAGUCGACGAUGAGACCGUCCUGGUGGACUGCAGCCGGUCUGGUCACCCUCGGAUUAAUAAGACGUACACCUUUGAAAGGUAAGCUUCUUCGGGAUGACGGGGCAGCCACGUCACGCAGAGGUCAGCUCUGCCUCGCGGUUCGAUGGCGAAAAGGUACAGCUUGCCCCGUUGGUCUAAGUGCGAAGGAAAGGCCCUUAGUUCCGUGGAUGGAGCACUGUCUUUCCGCAAGUGUUGCUGGACGGCUGGCCGUCCACAGGCCACAGAGAAACGCGUCUUCACCCACGCAGCACACGCCUGUGGAAACGUUGCCUGAGAUGGAAACUAGGCCCAGAGAGGAUGCCUAAAACUGAAACCUUUGGAAGACAAUGUAGGAGGGAGGCUUUUGGCCUUGGGUUAAGGGAGGAAUUCUUAGAAACGCCACCUAAAGCAUGAUCCUUCAAAGAACUGAAAUUCAAACCUUCUGUCUGUGACGCGCUGUUGGAAGGAUGAGAGACAAGCCGAGCACGGGAGACAGUAUCCGGAAAUCGCAGCGUCUGUCCGUGAGGCCCACCUCCAGGAUGUACGGAGGAGCCUCGAAAACAAGGAACAGACAACCGGGAGCGAGCGGAAAGACGUCGGAGGACGUGACCUCAAGGAACGAGCGCGGCCGUGGUCGCUGGGGAAAUGCCGCCGGAGCGGCCCCCGCGGCCCGUGCACCAUGCUGACCUGUGACCCGGGGCCCCCAGGCCUUUCCCCAAGACGGUUCCCCAGAGGACUGCAGGAGGUGUUUACAGCCGCUUCCCUCAUAGCUGACAAAAACGGGGGACGACCUGACUGUCCUGCUGCUGCUGGGAGGUGAAGCCUGGGGGUCCUGCGGGGAGCUCAGCCCGCAGCCGUGCAGACGGCCGCCCCAGCCAAGGAAGCCGGGGCCAGAGGCUCGUUGCCUUCCUUCCUCCGAGGACAUUCCCGAAGAGACCAGACUCUGGCGGCUUCGAGGGGUGAGGUGGGGGGUUAGAGAGCUCCUCUCCCUGCGGGCGGCAUCGGCAUCGCUGUGCGUCUGUCACCCGUGCGGAGCUGGGCACCUGGGAGCAGACGGCCCCGUAAACACGCAGGUCUCAAAACACCCCCAAUUUCCCCAAAGAGGCUUAAAGAGGCCUCUCAUCAGCUCUGAUGUGUGUGUCCUGAUUCCGCCAGAUAAACCGGCAAACCAUUUUGAAAAAGAAUGCUGGGGAGUUCCCUGGCGGCGCAGUGCUUUAAGGGUCUGGCAUCGUCACUGUGGUGGCUCGAGCUGCUGCCGUGGCGCGGGUUUGAUCUGUGGCCCAGGAUCUUUCAGGUGUCGCCUGUGCAGCCAACAAAAAGAAAGAAGAGAGAGAGUAGCUUUUACAUUGUAAAUCCACUGUCCUUUAAUUUAAAAAGGAACGCUGGGGGGACCGUAUUGUCAGUCAGGGCAGAUUUCAGAGGGUCGUUUCCUAGUAAGACGGCGUCAGGACUAAGAGAAUCGCGGCCCUGAAGGCAACCGCUUCAGAAUAAAGGAGCAAAGGCUGAGAGAACCGGGGAGAAG
rnacentral:lncRNA from 1 species